rnacentral:lncRNA from 1 species
ACGAGAUUCGUGAUAGAGGAUGCCUUUGCGGCCUGUGUUCGUUUGUGAUGGACUAGUUGGAGCACCCCUGCAGGGUUUAAUCUUUCGGAAAGCCGUGCCCGCGGUUAUGUGGCAACUUGGAAUAUUUUGUUAACAUCCGGUAUUAGAGAACUUAAACAUAAACUCAUAAAAUAUGCCAACUGUGUGCGUAACCGUGACUGCCCCUUCGAAGAUCUCUCUUCGACCGGGGACACGGUGGGGUUAUGAUUGCCGUAGGUAGGUGUUCAGGAUCACUUUCUGAUCAAGUAUUCCCGAUCGUUAGCAUAGACCACUGUCAUUUCUCCUUUGCGUAAGCUAGCCACUUAUUCAAUCUUAGGAUGCAGCAGCCUGAAACACUUCACCCCUUCCUUACCCAAUAACAUGACUAGUUCUGGCACCAAGGUCUAGAUUGCUGAGUCUCCGUGGCUCACGGAUUCCUCCGAAACUCCCAGCAGGUACAAGUACCCCAGAGACAGAUGUUCCCGACGGCACCCAGCUGGCGUGGCAGUACGACGAGGAGACAGAUCGCCUUUACGUGAACUAUCCAGAGGACUGAGCCGUGGUCGUGAUCGUGGGCCUGCAGCGGGUAGCAUAGCAUUUUCCUGGUUUUGUAGUCCGUACCGGAACUACCUUGUUUGUAUCUGCGUUGUACUCUAUAUUAUUAAUAAGAAGACAGUUGAAUCC